GACGAACGCUGGCGGCGUGCUUAACACAUGCAAGUCGAACGGAAAGGCCCUGCUUUUGUGCGGUGCUCGAGUGGCGAACGGGUGAGUAACACGUGAGUAACCUGCCCUUGACUUUGGGAUAACUUCAGGAAACUGGGGCUAAUACCGUAUAGGAGAUCCUGCUGCAUGGUGGGGGUUGGAAAGUUUCGGCGGUUGGGGUUGGACUCGCGGCUUAUCAGCUCGUUGGUCGGGUAGGGGCAUACCAAGGAUUUGACGGGUCGGCGGCCUGAGAGGGUGGACGGCCUCAUUACGACUGAGAUACGGACCAGACGCCUACGGGAGGCAGCAGUGGGGAAUAUUGCACAAUGGGCGGGAGCCUGAUGAAGCAACGCCGCGUUCGGGAUGACGGCCUGCGGGUUGUAAAACGCUGUCGCCUGUGACGAAGCGGGAGUGACGGUAAUGGGUAAAGAAGCACCGGCUAACUACGUG
rnacentral:rRNA from 1 species